rnacentral:rRNA from 1 species
UACGAAGGGGGCUAGCGUUGCUCGGAAUCACUGGGCGUAAAGCGCACGUAGGCGGCUUACUAAGUCAGGGGUGAAAUCCUGGAGCUCAACUCCAGAACUGCCUUUGAUACUGGUGAGCUUGGGUCCGGGAGAGGUGAGUGGAACUGCGAGUGUAGAGGUGAAAUUCGUAGAUAUUCGCAAGAACACCAGUGGCGAAGGCGGCUCACUGGCCCGGUACUGACGCUGAGGUGCGAAAGCGUGGGGAGCAAACAGG